rnacentral:lncRNA from 1 species
AUGGGGGAUAUACAGUUUAUACAUAAAAAUAAGAAAUUAAAAAAAAAAAAUAAUAAUAAUAAUAAUAAUAAUAGCAACAAUAAUAGCAAUAAUAAUAACAACAAUAAUAGCAAUAAUAAUAGCAACAAUAAUAGCAAUAAUAAUAGCAACAAUAAUAGCAAUAAUAAUAACAACAAUAAUAGCAAUAAUAAUAACAACAAUAAUAGCAACAAUAAUAGCAAUAAUAAUAAUAACAUAGCAAGUAUAAAAAAGCUCGAAAAAAGUAAAAAAAUAAUAAAAGAAAAGUCUAAAUAUGUAAUAAACCUUUUAUUAAAAAUAAGUGAUGAAAAAAACUGUCUCGAUAAAAAUAAAAGAUUUAUGAUAAAAUUAUUAAAAAGGAUAUAUAACAAUUUGUUCAAUAUAGAUAUAUUUAUAGUAGAUUAUAUUACUACUAUUAAUAAUAAUAUUAGUUGUAACAGUGAUGGUAGUGGUAAGAAUAAAUGUAAGGCAAGUAGUAACCUUUGGAAACAGUUCGAUUUUAAUCAGAAUAAAAACAACUGGGUAAUUGAUAAUGUACUUCUAAAUGAAAAUGAUCGAAUUCAAGUUAAAAAAGAUGUAAAAAGAAGUGUUAACACAUGGGACAUACAUAAAAAUAAUAUAUACGAAAUAAAAAAAGUAUAUCAGUCUAUUUUGAAAAAUAUAAUUUGUAGUAUUUUAUAUAAACAUUCGAGUAAAAUUUAUUAUGCACAAGGAGUUCAUGAUGUAUGUCUUGUUUUUGUUACUUUAUAUUUUCACGAGUUUCUGUUAAGAUAUAAAAAAUAUGUAUUUUUAGAUUAUUUUAUAUCAAAGUUUGUUGUAAAUAAAGUGUGUGAGGAGGUUUUCACAAAAAAGCGAAUACGUUAUACACGUAUGACACAUACAGUUGUUAAAAACGUACCAAAGGAAGAAGUAAAAAGCAGAAUUGUGAAUAAUUCUAAGUACAUAAAAGAUUCUAAUUUAUUACCUGAUUUGUUCAUAAAGCAAUUGAAUAAUUCAGAAACAAAAAUAAGUAAUAGUGUUUAUGAAGGUGAUACAAUCAGUCAAACUAAUUGGAACAAAAACAGGGACAGAAAAAGAGAAGAAAAAAAAAACAUAAUGUACAAUUUGAUGAUAUUUUCUUAA